rnacentral:lncRNA from 1 species
AAAGUCAAGCAACUGCCACAUUUCCAGGAUGGCUGGGCAGGGUUCUGCAACACAGCAGAAACCCCAGGCUUCCCAAGACCCAGGAUCAGAACUGUAUAAUGUCACUUCUGCCUCACUUUGUUGGACAAAGUAUGUCACAAGAUCAUCUCAGUGGUGGUAAAAUUAUUAUUAUUAUUAUUUUAAGGCAGAGUCUCACUUUGUCACCCAGGCUGGAGUGCAGUGGUGUGAUCUCGGCUGCUCACUACAACCUCCGCCUCCCAUGUUAAGCGACUCUCAUGCCUCAACCUUACCCAUGUUAAGCGACUCUCAUGCCUCAACCUUACCAAGUAGCUGGGAUUACAGGUGCAUGCCACCACAGCUGGCUAAAUUUUGUAUUUUUUUUUUCAUACUUUAAGUUCUGGGGUACAUGUGCACAACAAGCAGGUUUGUUACAGAUGUACACAUGUGCCAUGUUGGUGUGCUGCACCCAUUAACUUGUCAUUUACAUUAGGUAUAUCUCCUAAUGCUAUCCCUCCCCCCUCCCCCCACCCCACGACAGGCCCCGGUGUGUGAUGGAUAACAUCCUAAUAUUCUAACAUGGUGAUGUUAAUCACCUCUAUGCAUAUUGUUAAAAUAUGUAUGCAGUUUUACUAAAAUGUUAGAGAGAAUAUGCCUGAAAUUUAUAUAAGGAAUAAAAACAGAUAAAUCAACCUGAAAAUGUCCCUAUGUUUAUUAUCUUGAGUAAUUUCAAAAUGCAUGAAUAAAAUGCAUAGAUGUGCAUUUGCUGAGAGGGAUUCAUUCAUCCAGGUUGAGAAAAUGCCAUACAAUUUAGAGCCAAAGGCCUAGGACAAAUUCCCAGCUCUCCUGCUCACAGGUCUUGAGCAAGUUAACCUUUCUGAACCUGUGUCUCAUUGUUAACAUGAGGGUUUAUUCAAAAAGCAAGUAUUUUUUGAUUGUCUGCUACACGUAGGCACAGGGCUAUGGAAAUAGAUAGGACAUGGCCCUGUCUCACUAGAAGCUUAUGUUUUUUGGUGGAUGGUGAUAACACUGACAUCAGGAUUGCUGACAAGAUGACUAGAAGGGUGAAACUGCUUGCUAAACUAUAAUAUUUCAUGCAAUUAUUAAACACAGUUAAUGUAUAAAGUGAUUCAUAGUUUGCUACUGGGAAGACUUACACAAAUUAAAGACAUUUAGUAAAGAGAUAUCAGAGAAGCUCAACAAGAUUUUAUAAUCCUACUCUUCCCAAUUCCUUCCUUUAAGAUGUAAUACAUUACUGAUUUAUUUAUUAACCACCCCAUCCAUUAUUAACCACCCCUUCUAUUCUGUCCCAAACAGGAAUUUAAGACUUUCUCAGUCCUACUCCAUUAACAACAAUAACCAAUUAUGCCCCAUAACAUAAAAGUUAACAUGGCAUUCAUUCUUCUUAGGCUCAAUUCUCUUACAAUGGAAUUUGGAGGAGGUUACAUAGACA